GAACGGUCGAACAAGAUGAAAGGUUUUGUGCUAUUCCUGGUUUUUGUACUUCUUGUACAUACUUGCGCUGCCCAAAUGAUCGGCAACUCAACAAAUUAUAAUCAAAACGCAUCGGGGAAUUUCAUUACAGGCUCUCAUACCGGCGAAGGUGCAAAAGUGGGCAAUAAGGAGACCAAUGCCCAACAGUCCUGCGGUGUGAUACAAAGGAUUGUGUCAUUAUUCUGGAAUAUUUGUUAAUCAUGACCGAAGAAGAACUUCCCAAAGUGACAAUAUUCUAUGUAAACAAUAUCAAUACAAUUAUAGUACACUAUGUAAUAUUAGUAACGAAACUAUGAAAUAAAUUAUUA